UACGGGGGGGGCAAGCGUUGUUCGGAAUUACUGGGCGUAAAGGGCUCGUAGGUGGCCAACUCAGUCAGACGUGAAAUCCCUCGGCUUAACCGGGGAACUGCGUCUGAUACUGGAUGGCUUGAGUUCGGGAGAGGGAUGCGGAAUUCCAGGUGUAGCGGUGAAAUGCGUAGAUAUCUGGAGGAACACCGGUGGCGAAGGCGGCAUCCUGGACCGACACUGACGCUGAGGAGCGAAAGCCAGGGGAGCAAACGGG
rnacentral:rRNA from 1 species